AGGGUCACGUGGGCGCCGCCGCGCUCUGAACCGGGGUUAGUCACGGGCGCGGGAUUUGGCCGCCGCGGGGCUCCGGGCGCCGCUCGCUCCCGACAGGGCUCACGAUGCGCGGCGGGCAGGGCGCGGCGGAAGCUCGGGUGCUCCAGUUCACUAACUGCCGGAUUCUGCGCGGAGGGAAGCUGCUCAGGGAGGAUCUGUGGGUGCGCGGAGGCCGCAUCCUGGACCCGGAGAAGCUGUUCUUUGAGGAGCGGCGCGUGGCCGAUGAGCGGCGGGACUGCGGGGGCUGCAUCUUGGCGCCCGGUUUCAUCGACGUGCAGAUUAACGGUGGAUUUGGUGUUGACUUCUCCCAAGCCACGGAGGACGUAGGUUCGGGGGUUGCCCUGGUGGCCCGGAGGAUCCUGUCGCACGGCGUCACCUCCUUCUGCCCCACCCUGGUCACUUCCCCACCGGAGGUUUAUCACAAGGUUGUUCCUCAGAUCCCUGUGAAGAGUGGUGGUCCCCAUGGGGCAGGGGUCCUCGGGCUGCACCUGGAGGGCCCCUUCAUCAGCCGGGAGAAGCGGGGCGCACACCCCGAGGCCCACCUCCGCUCCUUCGAGGCCAAUGCCUUCCAGGACUUGUUGGCCACCUACGGGCCCCUGGACAAUGUCCGCAUCGUGACGCUGGCCCCGGAGCUGGGCCAUAGCCACGAGGUGAUCCGCGAGCUGACGACCCGUGGCAUCUGCGUGUCCCUAGGGCACUCAGUGGCUGACCUGCGGGCGGCAGAGGAUGCUGUGUGGAGCGGAGCCACCUUCAUCACCCACCUCUUCAACGCCAUGCUGCCUUUCCACCACCGCGACCCAGGCAUCGUGGGGCUCCUGACCAGUGACCGGCUGCCCGCGGGCCGCUGCAUCUUCUACGGAAUGAUUGCGGAUGGCACGCACACCAACCCCGCCGCCCUGCGGAUCGCCCACCGCGCCCACCCCCAGGGGCUGGUGCUGGUCACUGAUGCCAUCCCUGCCUUGGGCCUGGGCAACGGCCGGCACACGCUGGGACAGCAGGAAGUGGAAGUGGACGGUCUGACGGCCUAUGUGGCAGAGCCUGCCCUCUCUGCUCUCAAGGCACCAAGACGCUGAGCGGCAGCAUAGCCCCAAUGGACGUCUGUGUCCGGCACUUCCUGCAGGCCACAGGCUGCAGCGUGGAGUCGGCCCUGGAGGCUGCAUCCCUGCACCCCGCCCAGUUGCUGGGGCUGGAGAAGAGUAAGGGGACCCUGGACUUUGGUGCUGACGCAGACUUCGUGGUGCUCGAUGACUCCCUUCACGUCCAGGCCACCUACAUCUCGGGUGAGCUUGUGUGGCAGGCGGAGGCAGCCAGGCAGUGACAAGGACUUCGGCUGAGAGGACGCCCAGCCGCAGCUGGAUGCCAUCAGGGCUGAGUGGUUGGGGAGCUGGUCUCCAGGGAGUGAGUCGGGAGCCCUGCUGGAAUGACGCCCAGGGCCUUUGCUGCCGCCCUGGAGGCGGUGGCUGGGAUAAAUGUGCACCCAGCAGGA